rnacentral:tRNA from 1 species
AGGUGCCAAGAUUGGCAUUCCGCGGAGCAGCUGACUCUUAAUCAGCGGGUCCCAGGUUCGAGCCCUAGUGCGCCCACCA